AACGAACGCUGGCGGCAGGCUUAACACAUGCAAGUCGAACGCAUCGCAAGAUGAGUGGCAGACGGGUGAGUAACGCGUGGGAACAUACCCUUUUCUACGGAAUAGCUCUGGGAAACUGGAAUUAAUACCGUAUACGCCCUACGGGGGAAAGAUUUAUCGGGGAAGGAUUGGCCGGCGUUGGAUUAGCUAGUUGGUGGGGUAAAGGCCUACCAAGGCGACGAUCCAUAGCUGGUCUGAGAGGAUGAUCAGCCACAUUGGGACUGAGACACGGCCCAAACGCCUACGGGAGGCAGCAGUGGGGAAUAUUGGACAAUGGGCGCAAGCCUGAUCCAGCCAUGCCGCGUGAGUGAUGAAGGCCUUAGGGUUGCAAAGCUCUUUCACCGAUGAAGAUAAUGACGGUAGUCGGAGAAGAAGCCCCGGCUAGCUUCGUGCCAGCCGCCGCCGUAAAAC
rnacentral:rRNA from 1 species